CGCGUAGGCGGUCUUGUCGGUCAGAUGUGAAAGCCCAGGGCUCAACCCUGGACGUGCAUUUGAAACAGCAAGACUUGAGUACGGGAGAGGAGAGCGGAAUUCCUGGUGUAGAGGUGAAAUUCGUAGAUAUCAGGAGGAACACCGAUGGCGAAAGCAGCUCUCUGGACCGAUACUGACGCUGAGGCGCGAAGGCGUGGGUAGCGAACAGGAUUAGAUACCCUGGUAGUCC
rnacentral:rRNA from 1 species